UAGAAGAAAAAAAAGUAACUACGUAUAUAUGUUGACAUUGAACAAAAAAGUAAAAGAGAAAAUAGAAUCAUGAUAUCUACAAACGAAAGUGAUUUCUUCUGAACAGUUAAAUCUUUAAUGUUUAGUAUAAUUGAAGAGAGAUUUUUGUUCAGUUCUUUAUAAAUCUUUAUUGAAAGGAUUAAUUAAAAAAAAUAUACAUUAACACAUUUGAAGAAAGAAUAUUUAAAAUUCAUAUUAAAAAAAGAUGUUUCGAACUCUUGGUGACUUUUAAAUUAAAAGAAAUGACAGCGCAUAAAGAAUCAGUGAUGCAAUAAUAAAUAAAAAAAAAAGGAGAACUGACGGAAAUGCCCUUAAGAUUCAAUAAAAUAAAAAUAUGCUGAUUUCAUAAUUAAAAAGUUGAAGGAUUUACAUAUUUCUCAUUUAAAAUUGAUUUUAAAAAUACUUUGGAAUGGAUUUCAUAAAGAAACUGUUACGCACUGAAUUCGAAAUCAUUUCAAACUAUUCUUGGACUUGAAGAAACAUAAUUAUUUGUUUUUUUUUGGGAUAAAAAUCUUACGCCAGUGUUGAUGAGCUUCUCAGGUUUCUCAUAAUGUAGGAAUCGACCUUUCCUUGUAGAACAUUCACCCGCACAAAAGAAGCUGAACUUCCAUUGAGAAUUAUUAUUUUCUUUGAAGGAGAUUCGCUUCAUCAAACAGCUAUGUUUCAGGACCAAAUAAUAAAAAAAUCUCAUGCAUAAAAUGAGAAGAAAAAAAAAUCAUCAUUCGCUCAGAAUUUUUUUUUUUUUUGAAACCAAACAGAAUGAAGAGGAAAAAAAAACUGGCCUGGCUUCUGUGGAUAAAGAAAAAUUCAAGUAAAUGGAUGGAAUCGAUUCCCAAAUUAAAAACUGGAAUUCACAAUCUGCAUAUUAAGAAGAUACUAAAUAGGGU